GAUGAAGAACGUAGCGAAGUGCGCUAAGUAGUGUGAAUUGCAAUAUUCCGUGAAUCAUCAAAUUUUUGAACGCAAAUUGCACUCUCUGGUAUUCUGGAGAGUAUGCCUGUUUGAGGGUCGUUUUAAAUAAAAAUCGAUAUGUUAUUAUUAACUUAUUUUAACAUGUCGGAAUUGAGUUAUCUUUAACCUCUUUUUUGUUGAAGUGACCUAAAAUUACCCAUUUUUACUUCGGUAUUUACAGUAAUUAAUUUUUAUCAUAAUUCCGAAGGGUUUUUUUUUAUUAGAUGUAACUAUUUAAUAGUUUUUACGUCUAUAAUUUUUCAAUUAAUGACCUCAAAUCAGGUAAGAAUACUCGCUGAACUUAAGCAUAUCAAUAAGCGGAGGA
rnacentral:misc_RNA from 1 species